UACGAAGGGGGCUAGCGUUGCUCGGAAUUACUGGGCGUAAAGCGCACGUAGGCGGAUCUUUAAGUCAGGGGUGAAAUCCUGGAGCUCAACUCCAGAACUGCCUUUGAUACUGAGGACCUUGUAGUUCGGGAGAGGUGAGUGGAACUGCGAGUGUAGAGGUGAAAUUCGUAGAUAUUCGCAAGAACACCAGUGGCGAAGGCGGCUCACUGGCCCGAUACUGACGCUGAGGUGCGAAAGCGUGGGGAGCAACAGG
rnacentral:rRNA from 1 species